rnacentral:hammerhead_ribozyme from 1 species
AUCCAGGUGAUGAGUCCCAAAUAGGACGAAACGCGCGUCAUGGGU